GCCUCUAUUUAUUGUUUAUUAGUCAUUUACUUAGUGCCGUAUGACACUUUAAACAGCAGCUGUACCAGCCAGUCACUUGCAUUUUUCUCUGCAUUUACUUGUGUGUGAUUUUAAACGGGUCUCUGAGGGUU